UUUAGAUCUAAUAUUAGUAAAAGAAAAGAAAGUAUUCAAAGAAUGUGGAUGGCGCUACUUUGCAGAGGAAGCAUGUAAGGAACGAAAAGGCAGCCGAGUAUCGGUUCGUUAAGCAGUAUGAUUCCUAUGAAAGUUGGUCCACCUUGUAAUAGAAAAUGUACAUAUGUAUAUAUAAAACGAUGUAAUAAAUGAUAAAAAACAA